UACAGAGGUCCCGAGCGUUGUUCGGAUUCAUUGGGCGUAAAGGGUGCGUAGGCGGCGGGGCAAGUCUGAUGUGAAAUCCCGGGGCUCAACCCCGGAACUGCAUUGGAUACUGCCUUGCUCGAGUACUGGAGAGGGAACUGGAAUUUACGGUGUAGCAGUGAAAUGCGUAGAGAUCGUAAGGAAGGCCGGUGGCGAAGGCGGCCUUCUGGACGGUGACUGACGCUGAGGCGCGAAAGCGUGGGGAGCAAACGGG
rnacentral:rRNA from 1 species